AUUGAACGCUGGCGGCAGGCCUAACACAUGCAAGUCGAGCGGGGUUUUCGGACCUAGCGGCGGACGGGUGAGUAAUGCGUAGGAAGCUACCCGAUAGAGGGGGAUACCAGUUGGAAACGACUGUUAAUACCGCAUAAUGUCUACGGACCAAAGUGUGGGACCUUCGGGCCACAUGCUAUCGGAUGCGCCUACGUGGGAUUAGCUAGUUGGUGGGGUAAUGGCUCACCAAGGCGACGAUCCCUAGCUGGUUUGAGAGGAUGAUCAGGCACACUGGAACUGUGACACGGUCCAGACUCCUACGGGAGGCAGCAGUGGGGAAUAUUGGAGAAUGGGCGCAAGCCUGAUCCAGCCAUGCCGCGUGUGUGAAGAAGGCCUUCGGGUUGUAAAGCACUUUCAGUAGGGAGGAAGGGUGUUGUGUUAAUAGCACAGCAUUUUGACGUUACCUACAGAAGAAGCACCGGCUAACUCUGUGCCAGCCGCCGCAGUAAGAC
rnacentral:rRNA from 1 species